AGUGAACGCUGGCGGUAGGCCUAACACAUGCAAGUCGAACGGCAGCACAGUAAGAGCUUGCUCUUACGGGUGGCGAGUGGCGGACGGGUGAGGAAUACAUCGGAAUCUACUUUUUCGUGGGGGAUAACGUAGGGAAACUUACGCUAAUACCGCAUACGACCUACGGGUGAAAGCAGGGGAUCUUCGGACCUUGCGCGAUUGAAUGAGCGGAUGUCGGAUUAGCUAGUUGGCGGGGUAAAGGCCCACCAAGGCGACGAUCCGUAGCUGAUCUGAGAGGAUGAUCAGCCACACUGGAACUUAAACACGGUCCAUACUCCUACGGGAGGCAGCAGUGGGGAAUAUUAGACAAUGGGCGCAAACAUGAUCCAGCCAUACCGCGUGUGUGAAGAAGGCCUUCGGGUUGUAAAGCCCUUUUGUUGGGAAAGAAAAGCAUCAGGUUAAUACCCCGCUGUUCUGACGGUACCCAAAGAAUAAGCACCGGCUAACUUCGUG
rnacentral:rRNA from 1 species